UUACCUAUGAAUUUUAUCUGUGGAAUCUGGUAAUUGUCAUGGCGUAGCAGGUUGCCGUCAGUACGGGGAUGGAGAAGUUAUUGUGUUUUUUGGUGUUUUUUCUAUCAGUAACUAUACAACGUAUAGAAUAUUAUUGGAAAAGGUUGAUGUCCAUAAACAGCAGAACAUCUUGGCCUGAAGUGCUUUUCAGCACAAAUACAGCAGCAGUACACAGUGGUUUGAAUACGAGUGAACACAUCAGCAUGGCUACAAAAUGAAUCACUGAGCUUUUUCAGGAUCUGCAACUAUGCUGAGC